CGUCCAGGGUCAACCAGGCUUUGGUCAAACAAGCUAUGGAGUCGUCCAGGGUCAACCAGGCUAUGGACCUCCCGUUGAGCAAGUGGGUUAUCCACACUACUCGCAACAGCCUCCUGUGAUGUCGCCAGCCGGAUGGGGUCCUCAACACCAGCCGACUCAUACCGUAAUUUUGACUGAAGAAAAACCCAGAGAAAACGAUAGGAUGGCGGAGUGCUUCUUAUUGGGGUGCUGUUCGUCGAUAUUGUGUUGCUGUCUUCUAGACUCUGGACUUGAGUAGUUUUGUGUAUGAGCUGAAGUCAGUGUCUUAUUGUUUUUCAGACUGUUACUUUCAUUGUUACCUGGAUCCAAACAUAACUCAAUGAUAUGAUGUUUGUCUCCUAAAUGAAUAACAUUAGUGUUCCUUGACUCGAAGGACUGCAGUGUUUUUGUCAAUAGCGUAAUCUUGGGAUCGGUUUCGGUACAGUGUUUUCAUCUCCUAGGUACAUGGCUUCAUUAUUAGCCCAGUUUAAGUACUUAUUUCGGUCCUGUCGUAUAGACUCAUUUUAAUCUGGACUCGGGAACUGUCGGUAACUAGAAAAUGUUUAAUAAACAUCGCAAAGGAUAUUGCAAGUCUCAUGAACUUAUAGAUUUCUCUGAUUUGUAUAAUAAUCUUUCGCUUUAAUUAAAAAACUUUGUAAACGCAAAGUUCAACCUUUUGAGUAGUAUUCAACAUUAAUACACAUUUGUACUUAUACUGACUUUUUGGAUUCGGCUGAAACAACAAGUUUGAAGUCAAAAUUAACAGUUUUGUAGACAUUUUAGUGAUGAUUAAUGUAAUUGAAUGUUAAAGUUACAAUUGCCAACUUGGUGUUUACUGUGGAGAAAGAAAUAUCAACUUUAUGUUGGUUUAAAUAAAUAAUAAUGGUGUUACUAAUCUUGAUUUGUAAACGGCUCGUAUAAAAUAAUUAAAAAUUGCACUUUACCAACCGUUAACAGUCGUUCGCGUAAUUUGAUAACAUAAAUACCGUCUCAACUACUAUUGUGUGAGUCGUAUCUCAACCGGCCUGACGAUAUAUGAUAAUAGGCCUCAUUGACACUGGAUAUAGCAGAUAAGGUGUGUUUGACGUAUUGUUAUACGUUUUAUUUUACUUUUACUCAUAAGUUCUUAGAAUUAAGUUUUGUAUUAUAUUUUUAGAUAUAUUUACUAUUCAUAUUCUACUGGUUUUGGGGUGUUGUGUACAAUUUUAAGCGGAUUAUAAUUAUUUUCGUGUUUGACCUAAGUGGGCGGUGUAUGAUUAGCCAAUACUUAAAUAUACCAGAUUGUAGUCCAUUGCCAUUGUACGAAAUAUACAUAAUAAAAUUUAAAGAAAUAAAAUAUUUGGUAGAUGGUUUCGAACUCUGUUCGAAGUUGUGUUUGCUAAUGACACUGUUAGCCAAUCACGUUUGAUAUAUUACGUGUAAAUAUGGAAAAUGUUUUAUUGAGAAAUAAAGUUUGUUUUCACCGUUA